ensembl:lncRNA
GCCGUGCCCAAUCGGGGCGCCCGCGGGUCACAUUUAGGGGCCCGUCUGGAGUCCUUUCAUGCUAAAUUGGAUGAAGGCAGAAGCACUGGAGCUGAGCGGAGUGGAGAUGUCACAGCGCUCUCCGGCCUGUGUGCGGAGGCCAGACGCUUCAGCUCCAAGAGGAGAGAAAGAUGAAUGAGUCCGGGUGCCGUGGAAUCCAGUGGCGGUGGAGAUUCUGUCCUUUUUAGCUUCCAUAACCGCAAUCCCACCUCCAAAAAGCAUUCAGCGCUGUAAAAAAAAACCCCACUAUUUUGAGCUACAACAAUACUUUGGGAUAUCAUACACUCACAAAAAGAAAGCAUGCUACAAACCAGCAAUAAGGACGGAUAAAUCCAUUUUUUUUUUUUUUAGAUAAGCUGUGUUACGUGUGGAAGAGGAACCUUUUUUCCCUCGACUCUGCUGCUGCGAUAGUGAGGAGCACCUGCACAUAGAUGAGAGGAGGGCGCCUCCCUGUAAGCAGGCAACAAAGCCAAUCUCCCACAGGACUCUUUCUGCGACGUCCCGCCUCUCUUUGGAGGUGUUGUACAGUCGCACAUCCGUCAGCAGAGGCCGUCCCAGUGUGUCUCGCAGCUCUGCACUGGUCCCAUGAAUAAAUCUGUGCCUUCCUGCGCCCUGAUGCCUCUGAGAAGCGACUUGCACGUCGUCUCACGCGGUAAUGACUCUCUUGUCAUUCAUUGUGCACACAGAAGAUCCCUCAGAGCGGUAAAACAUCUGCUCGGCGUCUGGAGUUUCCGCGGAGGAAAAAUCAGGGACAACCACCCUGCAGAGGACCACCACUGUGUCCCUAAAAGGCCGUGGUUUGAAGAUGUCCUGGCUAAAUGUGGGGAGAUUUACACAGCCGUUAAAAUGAUGAAGAGUUGAGAGCAAAGUGCACGAGGACAACAGGAAGAGUCGCUAGUUCAACAUGUUCCACCUCCAAGAUGGUCACAUUUUGGACCAGAAGCUCCAAGCACUCGAGCAGCAGCACUUCAAAUGGAUUGGAGUUUCAACAGACAUUCUUGCUUUCAGAAGAGCUCUUGGCACUUCCAAUUAUUCCCAUGAAAACUCAAACAUUUUAACUUUAAUC